rnacentral:rRNA from 1 species
UACGUAGGUGGCAAGCGUUGUCCGGAAUUACUGGGCGUAAAGGGCGAGUAGGCGGCCUUUCAAGUCAGAUGUGAAAUAGCCCGGCUUAACCGGGGAACUGCGUCUGAUACUGGAUAGCUUGAGGUUGGGAGAGGGAUGCGGAAUUCCAGGUGUAGCGGUGAAAUGCGUAGAUAUCUGGAGGAACACCGGUGGCGAAGGCGGCAUCCUGGACCAAUUCUGACGCUGAGGAGCGAAAGCCAGGGGAGCAAACUGG